rnacentral:rRNA from 1 species
CUGAAGGAACGUUAAAGACGAUGACGUUGAUAGGCCGGGUGUGUAAGCGCAGCGAUGCGUUGAGCUAACCGGUACUAAUGAACCGUGAGGCUUAACCUUACAACGCCGAAGCUGUU